rnacentral:rRNA from 1 species
AUUGAACGCUGGCGGCAUGCCUAACACAUGCAAGUCGAACGGCAGCACAAUAAAGAUUUCGGUCUUUAUGGGUGGCGAGUGGCGGACGGGUGAGUAACGCGUAGGAAUCUGUCCUGGAGAGUGGGAUAACCCGAGGAAACUCGGGCUAAUACUGCAUGACAUUGAGAGAUCAAAAGCAGGGGACCGAAAGGCCUUGCGCUCUGGGGUGAGCCUACGUCGGAUUAGCUAGUUGGUGGGGUAAAGGCCUACCAAGGCGACGAUCCGUAGCUGGUCUGAGAGGAUGACCAGCCACACGGGGACUGGGACACGGCCCAGACUCCUACGGGAGGCAGCAGUGGGGAAUCUUGGACAAUGGGGGAAACCCUGAUCCAGCGAUGCCGCGUGUGUGAAGAAGGCCUUCGGGUUGUAAAGCACUUUAGGUGGGGAAGAAAGGUAGCGAGUGAAUAACUUUCUGCUGUGACGGUACCCACAGAAUAAGCACCGGCUAACUCUGUGCCAGCAGCCGCCAUAA